rnacentral:rRNA from 1 species
GACGAACGCUGGCGGCGUGCUUAACACAUGCAAGUCGGACGAUGAAGAAGAGACACGCGAACUUCGGUUCAAAUUUCACUUCGGAUUAGUGGCAGACGGGUGAGUAACGCGUGAGCAACCUACCUCUUACAAAGGGAUAGCCUCGGGAAACCGUGAUUAAUACCAUAUGACACAUUCAUAAGGCAUCUUAAGAAUGUUAAAGCUACGGCGGUAAGAGAUGGGCUCGCGUCCCAUUAGCUAGUUGGUGAGGUAACGGCCCACCAAGGCGACGAUGGGUAACCGGCCUGAGAGGGUGAACGGUCACAUUGGAACUGAGACACGGUCCAAACUCCUACGGGAGGCAGCAGUGGGGAAUAUUGCACAAUGGAGGGAACUCUGAUGCAGCGACGCCGCGUGAGCGAUGAAGGAAUUCGUUUCGUAAAGCUCUGUUCUAUGGGAAGAAAAGGACUGUACCAUAGGAGAAAGCCCCGGCUAAAUACGUG